GUGGGGAAUUUUGGACAAUGGGCGCAAGCCUGAUCCAGCAAUGCCGCGUGCAGGAAGAAGGCCUUCGGGUUGUAAACUGCUUUUGUACGGAACGAAACGGUCCUGGCUAAUAUCCGGGGCUAAUGACGGUACCGUAAGAAUAAGCACCGGCUAACUACGUGCCAGCAGCCGCGGUAAUACGUAGGGUGCGAGCGUUAAUCGGAAUUACUGGGCGUAACGCGUGCGCAGGCGGUGCUGUAAGACAGGCGUGAAAUCCCCGGGCUCAACCUGGGAAUUGCGCUUGUGACUGCAGUGCUGGAGUGCGGCAGAGGGGGAUGGAAUUCCGCGUGUAGCAGUGAAAUGCGUAGAUAUGCGGAGGAACACCGAUGGCGAAGGCAAUCCCCUGGGCCUGCACUGACGCUCAUGCACGAAAGCGUGGGGAGCAAACAGGAUUAGAAACCCUGGUAGUCC
rnacentral:rRNA from 1 species